rnacentral:rRNA from 1 species
UACGAAGGGUGCAAGCGUUAAUCGGAAUUACUGGGCGUAAAGGGUGCGUAGGCGGUUUGUUAAGUUGGAUGUGAAAGCCCCGGGCUCAACCUGGGAAUGGCAUCCAAAACUGGCAGGCUGGAGUGCGGUAGAGGAUGGUGGAAUUCCAGGUGUAGCGGUGGAAUGCGCAGAUAUCUGGAGGAACACCAGUGGCGAAGGCGGCCUCCUGGACCAUUCCUGACACUCAGACGCGAAAGCUAGGGUAGCAAACGGGAUUAGAUACCCCCGUAGUCCCU